rnacentral:lncRNA from 1 species
ACUGAAGGCGCCUUGUCUCGACUCCAGCCAGCUUAGUUCUUUGGAGAAGCAGUGUGGAGUCCUAAAAAAGGAGGCUGAGUCUUACCGUUGAGGUCGGUGCCGGUAGAGAAUGGGAGGGAGUCUGCAGGAGCCAAGCACCCUAAAGAAGAGGAAGAGAGCACGUUGCUGAGAUUUGAACAGCGACCUGAGAGGUCAGACUGGACCCAGGCCUCCUCAAGAAGCAACGGAGAUGGAGAUUCUUCCCUUUUCCCGGCCCUUCGGUCCUUCUCCGGAAGAGCUACUCUGGCCAGCUCUGGGCUAGGGGCAGUGGCCGAAGAGAAGGGGAAAGUUUUUAGGUUUUUGCCUGUUGCUCUUAGGGAUCCAGGGGCAGAGUUUUGCCUUAGGUGCUGAAGCUGCUGGAGCCUGUUGCUUUUUCACACCACAGAUACUUCAUGCUGCCUAAUAUUCUACCGAGCCAGCCUAGGGGACUUGGAUCUGUCUCGCCUGGGGCUAAGAGAAUAGUUUCUCUAAGAAGAAAACAGUUCUAAUUCAAAGAUGCUGGAUCUGGCUUCCUUUAAAGCCUGAAGUCGCUGAAGUGGCCAUAGAACUAUGGGGUCCAGAGGACUGCCAGUCUCAGCCAGCCUUUAGGCUGGAGAGAGGCUGUGGGCCUGCUUGGGGACUAAAAUGGAUGAAUAAGAAACCUGUAAGAAAUGUAAACAGAUGGAAUGGCAAGGAGGAGAGCGCUGGAGAUUGUUCAGGUGUGAGCUGAGGUUUCUGAGUUUGUACUGGGGAUGCCUUUGCACACAGUGAGGUGCCCCCUCCCUAAGUGGCUCUUGUUUUGCACAAACAGCCCCACCCUGCGCACACACUGUGGGUCUCAGUAGGGACUGAGGGUGUAGGUGCUCAGGUUUUGGGGGUGGUGGUGAAGGGGCACUCAGAAUCAACAAGACAGGGCGGGGAAAAUCAAAAUCAACCAAGGAACCAGCCUUCCAUUUCUGAAAAGCCGCGCUCUGGCCCCCGUGCUUCAGUUCUGAAAUACGAAUAAAUGGAGUCAGAUCCCGUACUACACUCCGGGGACAGAGUUUUAAUGUAAACGUAAAAUAUGCUUGUAAUAAUCACUUGUGGGCCCUGAAGCGCCACUAGAAUGAAUCUCUGUUUAAUUAUAGGGCAUGAGAGGAGUAUUACCAGCUAAUUAAACCCCAUCCUAUUUGUAAUUCCC